AUCCAUCCAUCCAUCCAUCCAUCCAUCCAUCCACCAGUCAACCAAUCUAAGUACAAAAGGAGAUCUCUCCUUGAAUGAUGAAGACAAUCAACACUGCACAGCAGACUAGAUCUCUGACGCCAGUGGUCUCAACUACCCCUAGAUGGUGCUCUGCCUCUACAAAACCAAUCCACUGACCUGUCCAUCCAUCCAUCCAUCCAUCCAUCCAUCAUCCAUCCAUCCAUCCAUCCAUCCAUCCAUCCAUCCAUCCAUCCAUCCACCAGUCAACCAAUCUAAGUACAAAAGGAGAUCUCUCCUUGAAUGAUGAAGACAAUCAACACUGCACAGCAGACUAGAUCUCUGACGCCAGUGGUCUCAACUACCCCUAGAUGGUGCUCUGCCUCUACAAAACCAAUCCACUGACCUGUCCAUCCAUCCAUCCAUCCAUCCAUCCAUCCAUC